GAUGAAGAACGCAGCGAAAUGCGAUACUUGGUGUGAAUUGCAGAAUCCCGUGAACCAUCGAGUCUUUGAACGCAAGUUGCGCCCGAAGCCGUCAGGCCGAGGGCACGCCUGCCUGGGCGUCACACCCCGUUGCCCCCCCGCGCCCCGCACCCAACGCUUUGGGAGCGACCGCGGGGCGGGCUGAUGAUGGCCUCCCGUGCGCUCCGCCGCGCGGUUGGCCCAAAUACCGAGUCCCCGGCGACGUGCGCCACGACGAUCGGUGGUUGAGAGACCUCUGUCGCAAGUCGUGCGCGCCCGUCGCGUCACGCGGGCUCGCAUAGCGCCUCGCGCCGCACCCGGUGCGGAGCUUUCAACGCGACCCCAGGUCAGGCGGGGUUACCCGCUGAAUUUAAGCAUAUCAAUAAGCGGAGGA
rnacentral:misc_RNA from 1 species